GAGGUUGCGCCUCAGCGGUAGAGUGCUUGCCUAGCACAUGAGAGGCCCUGGGUUCAAUCCUCAGCACCACA
rnacentral:tRNA from 1 species